GACCGGGAGCAUUAUGCCACCUCCCUUGCCCUCAUCUCUCACUGCCAUGCAAGAAAGCGUUAAUGGCAAAUAGGGCACGUAGCCACGCUCUGUCUUUCCUGCUUCCAAGCAAACCUUGUGCCAGGUUCCUCAUUUCGCGAGGCUCCACUCUCUUGGGCUUCAGGCUGCGGCUGGGCCUCCAGGACCAAAGGGCAAUAGGGGUCUGAGAGUCCGGGCCUCAGGCAUCUUCAGGCCGCAGACUGGCAUAGUGAGUAUGGUAUACACACAAUCGGAGAUUCUACAGAAGGAAGUGUACCUCUUUGAACGCAUUGAUUCUCAAAAUCGAGAGAUCAUGAAACACCUGAAGGCAAUUUGUUUUCUUCGACCUACAAAGGUACUGCAUAAACUGAGCUUCCAUCUGCCCAGGCAGAUGCAGAACACUCUGAUCUGAAAGCAUUAAGAAGGCAAAAUAAAUUUGUAUUAUCAUAA
rnacentral:sRNA from 1 species